rnacentral:lncRNA from 1 species
AUUUAUGAGAAUAUUUUGUAAAGUUUGGUUUCACUUGUAGCAACAUUGUGCCCAUGUGUAGCCUAACCAAGAGGAGUUUGGUAAUUUCCUCUUGCUUGUAUUAUCACCAGCAAAGCAUAGAGUAUAUACUAGUGGUGUAACCAAACUCGAAGCAUAUGUCAACUUAUAAGUGUGUCACAUUUUCAUUGCAUAUAUGCAUGCACUUUAACGAUAUAAUAUGAUUCUAUCACCCAUGUUGAUACACUAGUUUUAUAUGAGGGACUAGUGACAUGGCAUUUUGAUUAAGUUUCACUUCACUCGUAUUAUUACUAUCACCGUGUAGCGAUACACCCACGUGUAGCAUGACCGAGUGAAGCAUGAUGAUUUCUCUUUGUUUGUAUUAUCACUAUCAAAGCAUAGAAU